rnacentral:rRNA from 1 species
GUGGGGAAUUUUGGACAAUGGGCGCAAGCCUGAUCCAGCAAUGCCGCGUGUGUGAAGAAGGUCUUCGGAUUGUAAAGCACUUUAAGUUGGGAGGAAGGGCAGUAAGUUAAUACCUUGCUGUUUUGACGUUACCGACAGAAUAAGCACCGGCUAACUUCGUGCCAGCAGCCGCGGUAAUACGAAGGGUGCAAGCGUUAAUCGGAAUUACUGGGCGUAAAGCGCGCGUAGGUGGUUUUGUAAGUUGGAGGUGAAAUCCCCGGGCUCAACCUGGGAACUGCCUCCAAAACUGCAUGACUAGAGUACGGUAGAGGGUAGUGGAAUUUCCUGUGUAGCGGUGAAAUGCGUAGAUAUAGGAAGGAACACCAGUGGCGAAGGCGACUACCUGGACUGAUACUGACACUGAGGUGCGAAAGCGUGGGGAGCAAACAGGAUUAGAAACCCGUGUAGUCC